CUAGAACUUAUCUCUUACAAGUUUACAAGUCUCAAGUCUCUUUUUUUUUGGCAUUCAACUAUUUUUGAUACAAAAAAACCAAAAGGCAUUUAACAUUCAACAAUUUAACAUUCCCAGAAGCUAACUUCAUUUCAAUUCAACUAAACCCAAAACUACAACUAAUUGCCUUAAAAUAGCAAAUUUAAAAUUUAAAAUUUAAAAUUGAUUUAGAAAAAGCUACAAAUUUGGAUGUGACCCCCAAGAACAUGUCGAAGUCUUAGUCUUAGCUACCUAUCAACCUAAUAUCCUACUCGCUAUUAUCUACUUAUAUCUAGAAACCUAAAUGAUCAAAUUUGAUCGCCUUUGCGAUUGCCAUGAGGCUCUUGGCGAACGGGACAGGUGAGCACAGGU
rnacentral:lncRNA from 1 species